CCUUUAAAUCCCUCCUGGCCAGAGGAAAAAACCCUUUCACCUGUAAAGGGUUAAGAAGCUAGGAUAACCUCGCUGGCACCUGACCAAAAUGACCAAUGAGGAGACAAGAUACUUUCAAAGCUGGAGUGGGGAGACAAGCAAAGUUUCUCUCUGUGGGAGGCUUUUGCUGGGAACAGUAAAGGAAUGGAGUCUUAGAACUUAAAAAAGCUGAUGAGCCCUUCCCCAAACAUGGAGGAUCUCAGGAGAUUCAUUGGAGAAUGGGGCCUCAUGGGCUCCUUUAGAGCUGUGCUACAAGGGACUCCUUCCCAGACAUGCUGUUCCUGUGACUACUGAACUGUUCUGCACAGAAGAGAUGAACCUAGCACUAUAUGGUCUUUACCCUGAUUGAAGAGCUUUGGUACUACAACAAUAGUGGCCAUUAUCUUUGAAAACUUGUGGCAAUCGGGGGAGGUCCCUGACAAUUGGAAAAAAGACAAAUAUAGUGCCCAUCUUUUAAAAAGGGAAGAAGGAGAAUCCGGGGAACUACAGACUGGUCAGCAUCACCUCAGUCCCCCAAAAAAUCAUAGAGCACAUCCUCAAGGAAUCUAUUUUGAAGCACUUGGAGGACAGGCAAGUGACCAGGAACAGUCAACAUGGGUUCACCAGUGGCAAGUCAUGCCUGACCAACCUGUCUGCCUUCUAUGAUGAGAUAACUGGCUCUGUGGAUAUGGGGAAAGCAGUGGACGUGAUAUAUCUUGAGACUUUAGCAAAGCUUUUGAUACGGUCUCCCACAGUAUUCUUGCCAGCAAGUUAAAAAAGUAUAGAUUGGAUGAAUGGACUAUAAAGUGAAUACAAAACUGGUUAGAUUGUUGGGGUCAAUGGGUAAUGAUCAAUUGUUUGAUGUCUAGUUGGCAGCUGGUGUCAAGCAGAGUGCCCCAGAGGUCUGUCCUGGAGCAGGUUUUGUUCAGAAUCUUCAUUAAUGAUCUGGAUGAUGGGAUGGAUUGCACCCUCAGCAAGUUUGCGGAUGACCCUAAGAUGGGGGGAGAGGUAGAUAUGCUGGAGGGUAGAUUUAGGGUCCAGAGUGACCUAGAUAAAUUGGAGGAUUGGGCCAAAAGAAAUCUGAUGAGGUUCAACAAGGACAAGUGCAGAGUCCUGCACUAAGGAUGGAAGAAUCCCAUGCACUCCUACUGGCUGCGGACCGACUGGCUAAGAGGCAGUUCUGCAGAAACGGACCUGGGGAUUACAGUGGAUGAGAAGCUGGAUAUGAGUCAACAGUGUGCCCUUGUUACCAAGAAGGGUCCCGGCAUGUUGGGCUGCAUUAGUAGGAGCAUUGCCAGCAGAUCAAGGGAAGUGAUUAUUCCCUUCUAUUCGGCACAGGUGAGGCCACACCUGGAGUACUGUGUCCAGUUUUGGGCCCCUCAGUACAGAAAGGAUGUGGACAAAUUGGAGAGGGGAACUGGGCUGAGUUUCCCCUUAACUCCUACCAUAGCAUCCAGCAUAUGGUCUCCCAGCAUCUUACAUAGGGCACCAUAAGGGGCGGGAGCUGAGAGAGACAGUCAGUCCAGGCUCCCUCAAAAACUCCUACAGACCCUGCAUAUCCAUUCGCCCUCUGGGGGGAAUAACAUGGGCCAGAGUUUCCCCAAUGUCUGGGAUGGAAGAGAGAGCCAAACUCUAACCAUAAUUCCCUGGAUCCAGCAUGUGGUGCCAGCAGCUCAUUCCUGACUCCAGGGUCACCACUUGGGACAGAAGCCAUCCACCUUCCAAGAUGGGAAAAAUACAGAGCUAGGUUAGCUCCUCCAAACCACUCCCUCAAUCCAGCACAUGCUGCCAGCAGACAAUUACCCCUGCAUCCUGGGAUAAGCACUCUUCUCCUGAUGCCUGCUAAUGCAUUUAGUUCUCUAGCUUAAGCAGUAGCAGUAUGUGCUGAAUGCUCAGGGUUCAAACCCUGCUGUGGUUGUAUGAUGGGGAGGUUGUUAUAGGUUCACAUAGUAGAAUUUUUUUUUACCUUUCCCAUUAAAAAAUAGGAAAUUAAUUAUAAAAAUUAUGUUAAAGAGAUGUUAUUUAGAUACAAAAUCAAGCACUUAAAAUUAGCAAAUAGAUUUACAGUUGUUAGUUAAGCUCAGCCCUAUUGUGCAUAUGCUUUAUGAUUUUAAUUAUAUGAUUAUAGACUAGUUUUUUCUACAGAAUCGCUGCCUCAUUUGUGCACAGGCUGAAAGCACAGAGGGGCUAAAUUAAGGUUACACAAACAAUUGUAAAUCUGAAAUUUCCUAUCUUCCAAGUGCUUGACUGUGCAACCUAAAAUGUUCUUUGAAUGUAGUUUUUUGAUAUAGUAAUAAUUAUAAUAAUAAAUACCUAAGAAAUUAUUAGAGACUUUCUUAUAUACAUAAAAUCUAUCCUAGAAAAUCCUUUGUCCACUAUUUGACAGAGAUAAUUGAAUGAUCUAAAUAAUCCAUUUCAGCAAGGCACUGGAUGAUCACCUAAAAGGCCCUGAAGACUAUGUACCAUACCCAGCUCCCACUGAAGUCAGUGGAAAGACUUCCAUUGAUUUCAAUGGAAUUUGGAAUAUACCCUACCUAAGGGUGUAAAGAUUCAUAAAACUGGUAGUGUGUGUAUUGAUACAUAUUCACAUAUAUAAAAUAUAUCAGAUAUUGAAAGGUAAUGUGUAAUAAAAUUGUAUGUAAAAAAAUAAGAAAUGUACAAUAUAUAGGACCAGGAAAUGCAUAUCUACAUCCAAGCUUAUCAGUGUGAGGGAGGAAAAAGGAGGGAGAAUAGCCAUAUUCUGGCUUUGGCUAUGAAUGCGUUUACUGAAGUCAACAGGGACUUGUAACAUGCAUCUGAAACUAGAAUAUGGCCUGCUUUACUAUAUGAAUUAUGCAUACAUGCAGAAAUAUCAAUUAUAAUCAGUAAUACACUGUAUCUUGUAUUGUUUUAUAUAUUUAUAAGCAAUAAGCAACAGUGUGUAAUAUGUCACAAACAUUUUAUGGUACAUUUUGCAUUCUACUGCAAAGCUCUCGUGUUGUCAUAUUACACAUUUAGCUUCUAAGACUGAUUGAUUGCUUCAGUAAGGAGUGUAUAUGGUAUUCCACUUCUUAUCUGAGUCAAUGUUUUUCUCAAUACUGUGAAGUAAAUUAAAAUAAAGUGUUUAAAUCUACUGCUUAUGAUAAAGAAGACUAAAUCUCAUUCUAAUAAAUGUGAAAUACAUCUUGUCAUGUUCCUUUCACUUUGCAGAA